AGGUCAGCUUUAGCCCAGCGGUUCCUUCGAUUGCAUCCGAAUUAACCAAGUUCCUUGGUUCGUGUCCCGCGGGCGCUGCCUGGCCUUUUG
rnacentral:vault_RNA from 1 species